rnacentral:rRNA from 1 species
UACGUAGGGUGCGAGCGUUGUCCGGAAUUAUUGGGCGUAAAGAGCUCGUAGGCGGCUUGUCGCGUCGGAUGUGAAAGCCCGGGGCUUAACUCCGGGUCUGCAUUCGAUACGGGCAGGCUAGAGUUCGGUAGGGGAGAGCGGAAUUCCUGGUGUAGCGGUGAAAUGCGCAGAUAUCAGGAGGAACACCGGUGGCGAAGGCGGAUCUCUGGGCCGAUACUGACGCUGAGGAGCGAAAGCGUGGGGAGCAAACAGG